rnacentral:lncRNA from 1 species
GACCCCAAAGUUGGUGUUUUUUGGAUGGUGGAGACCCCAAAGUUGGGGUUCAUUGGGUGGUGGACCCCAAAGUUGGGGUUGGAGACCCCAAAGUUGGGGUACAUUGGGUGGUGGAGACCUCAAAGUUGGGGUUUGUUGGGUGGUGGACCCCAAAUUUGGGGUUGGAGACCCCAAAGUUGGUGUUUUUUGGAUGGUGGAGACCCCAAAGUUGGGGUACGUUGGGUGGAGACCCCAAAGUGGGGGUUCGUUGGGUGGUGGACCCCAAAGCGGGGCUUGGAG